CAGGCACACGUACCAAGAUGGCAUCACUGGCUCCCCUGCUCUGCCUCGUGGUGCUCUGGGUCCAGGGUUCCUCUGGGCAGAUUGUGCUGACUCAGACCCCAGAGUCCCUGGCGGUGUCUCCAGGAGAUCAAGUGACCAUCAAGUGCAAAGCCAGUUCCAGCCUUACUUAUAGUAGCUCUGGGACUACCUAUCAGCUCUUAUCCUGGUACCAGCAGAAACCGGGACAAGCUCCAAAGCUCCUUAUCUAUAACGCUGUCACCCAGGAAUCGGGAGUCCCAGCCCGGUUCAGCGGCAGUGGCUCUGGCACUGAUUUCACUCUCACCAUCAGCAGUGUUGAAGCUGAAGAUGCUGGAGAUUAUUAUUGUCAGCAGUACAAAAGCUCACCUCACACAGUGAUACAAACCCAUACAAAAACCUCCCUGGGCUGUCCAGCCCAGCACCACAGCUGCUUCCUGAAGACUCACUUGAUUGAACAACUGCUAUACUCAGUACCAGCUCUGGGGAUUUCCCAGGACACAAACACGUCACUGUCUGACCCACAGACACCACCACGCUGCCCCUGCUGCCCAGACUGCAGGACAGAUCAGUCCAGGUGCACAGGCCAGGGGAGUUUGUUCCCAAGUCUGAGAUUUAACCUCCCCUGAACUAGGGGCUCAUUUC